ensembl:lncRNA
AGCUCCGCCGAAGCGGAGCCUCAAAAAAUUCCACGACACUCGUGCUUGUUCCUCUCCACGGAAAUCUUUAGUAAAAGGCGAAAGAUUUAUACGAUCUGAAGAGAAACCAGACUCCACGACACUCGUGCUUGUUCUGUCAUUAACCACAACAGGGAUAGCUCCGCCGAAGCGGAGCCUCAAAAAAUUCCACGACACUCGUGCUUGUUCCUCUCCACGGAAAUCUUUAUAAAAGGCGAAAGAUUUAUACGAUCUGAAGAGAAACCAGAGUAUAACCCCAUCCCUUCCCCGCCCCGUGCCCACUGCCCGCCCGCCGCCCCGAGCACGCGGCGAUGCCCGCCUUCC